GUGGCGACGGCACCGCAUAUAUAUCCCUUGCUCGAUGGGUAUGGAGUGUCCUCGCCGCGCCGCGCUUAACAUUCGCCAGGCACCGAGGGAGUCCUCCUGAGCCGCUUCAGCGCGCUUUCCGCUCCGUCUUCUCAGGCAAACCGGUCCCCGACGACGCUCCCUUCCCCUCAAUGCGCGCCCUGCUCUUUCUCCUCCUCCUCCUCUUCCCGCUGCUCCGGAGUCCAGUCUACCAGCAUGCUGCUGGAUCAGAGCUAAAUGUGACAAAAGAUGAGCAAAACGUGCCCAUCUUGAAGACGUUCAACACAUCUUCCACUGAUCUGUUAUCAGCAGGAGUUGAGUAUGAAGAGGCAGAAGAAGAUAACGUGAAGGAAGUGAAAACAUCUCAGUUCCUUGUGAGUGAUGCAGAAAGAGAGAAAUCACCCAUUAAGAAUCCAGCAAAACUAGAUGGUGGGAAAAAGAACCCUAACAAAUCCAAAAGAAAAGGAAAUGAGAAGAAAACUAAAAGGAAAAAUAAAACUCCAUGCGAAGGAAAAUUUAAAGGUUUCUGUGUUCAUGGUGAAUGCAGACAUAUCAAACAGUUCCCAGUACCUACAUGCAUAUGCCACCCAGAUUACUUUGGUGAACGUUGCGUGGAACAGUUUUUGAAGACACGAAAGACCAAUGAUGAACCGAGUCUCUCAAAAACAGCACUUGGGGUGGUAUCAGUUUUCUUCUCGCUCAUCAGUUUUGCCAUCAUUGUCAUUAUCAUCACUGAACGGGUAAGAAAAAAAUGCACUAACUAUAAUGAAAUAGAGGAAAGGGAAAAUCUCCAACAAGAAAAUGGAAUUCCGAGCAGUAAUGUCUAAAAAGAAAUGAAGCAUUACAGCUGGAUGAGUGACUGAAGUACAAAUCAAGAUGUCCAAAACUGAAAUCUUGCUACUUUUUUAAACUCACCCAGUGGAUUUAAGAAAGUCAUUAUCUUUUAGCCUCAGCCUGCUAUUCCCUAAUAGUAUGGACAUAUUUCACAAAGUAGCUGUAACAAAUUACAAGAAAGUGAAGAAGCUAGUCCUGAAGCACAUACUAAUUCAUGGAGGCAUGUCUGAAAAAGUCAAAUCGAGAAAUCAGGGCAGUUAAGCUGAAACCUUAUUUGCCACCAGCCCAGAGGGUGCUGCAAGAAGGGAGUGGUCCUCUGUCCUCCCCCUUGGCAAUUGCCAGCAUGCUACUGCACCUGCAGGAAUGAACAUCUCUGGUUUCACAGCAGCCAGCGCACCAGCCAGUGCUGCUCGGUCGUAGGAGAAUAACGAAUGGCUGCUGCCUUGUGUGCUUCUUUUUUGCACAUGUUACCUUUUGGCAGAGAUGAACUGAUUGAGAGAGUAUGUGAGAAAGCAUGAAUUUGAAAGCCACGUGUGACUGUAUUCUUUGCUGUGUUCCACACACACCCAUGAAGGUGAAAGGGGAACACGGAACUGGCUUUGAGUAAGUCUCUCACGCUGCUUAAAGAGCUCAGUGACUCCCAACUGGGACAAACGGUAUAGGGUGUGCCUCUUUUCUCCCACACCUCCAACCCUGUCAUCUAGAGGAUUCCCGCUUGCUCGAUGAAAAUGUGCCAGGCCAGAAGUGCCAGUGUUGAAUGCAGUUUUGUCUCACUGGAAAGUACAUAAGCAAUUGGAGCAGCUUCCAAGUUGCUGCUCUGGUUUUGAAAACAUGUGUUUGGGGAGAUGCAAUCAGCUUGUAAAACUGCCAACCAACAGAAUUGCUUGUUGGUGGCUUUGUUUCCUGAGAUUAGUCUAGUCCCUAACAUCUACAACGUUAAUUCUUGAGAGUUCAAUUUCCCCUUUAAUAUUGUAAGGUGGGGAGUGGGCUACUAUUUCAGCAGUAAGAAUCCUGGGAUUUGGAUAAUAUAAAGGCUUUACUUUAAGAAACGGCACUGUUUUGCCAACCCUGGUGUUUUCUCAUGCUUGUUCCCUCUGGUUCUUAUCCACUGCCAUAUCAAUAUACUAGUAAUUUGCCUCACGUGUAACCAGCAUCUGCAUAGCCAACCUGUCUUCUCCUCCCUGCCCCCCUCCACCCUAAUUUAAAUCCUAUAUCAGUCUAGCCACCCUAUGCAUCUGAUGAAGUGAACUGCAGCUCAUGAACGCUUAUGCCUGUUAAUACAGUUUGUUAGUCGGAAAAAGUGUUACCAGACACCUGAUUUCGUAUCAAACAAAGAAGAACUAUUUCUACCUAACUAGUGGGAACUGCUUUUCUACCAUCCCCUCUGGAAUGAACAAAGAUUGCUCUGAGCCAAGCUUUUGCUGAAACUGGGUAUAUAGGAACAAGCAGUGAAGCAAUAUAGGUACAAUAUUUAUUAAAACAAAACAAGAAAGAUCAACCUGACACACUAUUAUCAACUUCCACAGGAUUUUUACUUUAAAACAUAUUGAAGGGCAACAUAAGGCACCUUGAAUUAAGUUUGCAAUCUUAUUAACUUCAGUGUUUCCUGUACAGAUGUAAAUCACUUCCACAGAGAGACAUCUUUAAUUCAAGUUAUAGUUCGAUGCACAUUUUCAGAUAAACUAUGAAAUGUAAUGGGAUUUACAUCAGAAUAAUCAUACAUAGGCUUGUGUUAGUUUACAGUAGCUUGUAUGUAAGAUGAAAAACAGUUUUUUAGAUUUUUUUAUGUAAAUAUGUAAGUAUAGAGAUUUUCUAUUGCUGUAAAUGUGUUCUU